rnacentral:rRNA from 1 species
ACCCGUUGAUCCUGCGGGAGGUUGCUGCUAUUGGAGUUCGACUAAGCCAUGCAAGUCAGAGGGAUUCUUCGGAAUCACAGGCAGAAUGCUCAGUAACACGUCGAUAAUCUAACCUUAGAUCAGGCAUAACCCCGGGAAACUGAGGCUAAAACCUGAUAGGGGAUUUUAAUUGGAAAAUAAUAUCCCUUAAAAGCAAUGUCUAAGGAUGAGUCGGCGGUGGAUUAGGUUGUUGGCGGGGUAAAGGCCCACCAAGCCGAUGAUCCAUACGGGCCGUGAAAGCGGUAGCCCGGAGAGGGACACUGAGAUACUGGUCCCAGCCCUACGGGGUGCAGCAGGCGCGAAACCUUUACAAUGCACGCAAGUGUGAUAAGGGAACUCCAGGUGCUCAUGCUUUGCGUGGGCUUUUUUUCGAGAGUAAAUAUCUCGGAGAAUAAGUGGUGGGUAAGACGGGUGCCAGCCGCCGCGGUAACACCUGCGCCACGAGUGGGAACCACGAUUAUUUGGCCUAAAGCGUCCGUAGCCGGUUUUGUAAAUCUUUUGUGAAAUCGACAAGCUUAACUUGUCGACGUGCAGAAGACACUGCAGGACUUGGAACCAGGAGGAGUUAGAAGAAUGUCAGGGGGAGCGGUAAAAUGUUAUAAUCCCUGAUAGACUACCUGUGGCGAAGGCGUCUAACUAGAAUGGAUUCGACGGUGAGGGACGAAAGCUAGGGGAGCGAUCCGGAUUAGAUACCCGAGUAGUCCUAGCUGUAAACGCUGCGAGCUAGGUGUUGCACAUCCCACGAGAAUGUGCAGUGUCGAAGCGAAGGUGUUAAGCUCGCCGCCUGGGAAGUAUGGUCGCAAGACUGAAACUUAAAGGAAUUGGCGGGGGAGCACCACAAGGGGUGCGGCGUGCGGUUUAAUCUAACUCAACGCAGAAAAUCUCACCAGCGGCGACGGCAGGAUGAAAGUCAGGCUGAAGACCUUACUUGACGAGCCGAGAGGUAGUGCAUGGCCGCCGUCAGCUCGUGCCGUAAGGUGUCCUGUUAAGUCAGGCAACGAGCGAGACCUGUGCCUACAAUUGCUAACGGGUUCUUUUGGACGACUGAGCACAUUGUAGGAACUGCCCGGGAAACCGGGAGGAAGGUGCAGGCUACGGUAGGUCUGUAUGCUCCGAAUCUGCUGGGCUACACGCGCGCAACAAUGGUUGAGACGAUGGGAUACGACUCCGAAAGGAGAAGUUAAUCCUCGAAACUCAAUCCAAGUUCAGAUUGAGGGUUGCAACUCACCCUCAUGACAAUGGAAUCCCUAGUAAUCGGGUCUCAUUACAGCCCGGUGAAUAUGUCCCUGCUCCUUGCACACACCGCCCGUCAAACCACCCGAGUAGGGUCUAGGUGAGGCUAAGUUUUGAAUUUAGUCGAAUCUAAGCUCAGCGAGGAGGGUUAAGUCGUCACAAGGUA